UCAGUCGACUCCUACGGGGAGGCAGCAGUGGGGGAAUAUUGCACAAUGGGCGCAAGCCUGAUGCAGCCAUGCCGCGUGUAUGAAGAAGGCCUUCGGGUUGUAAAGUACUUUCAGCAGUGAGGAAGGUGGGGUAUGUUAAUAGCAUAUUCAUUUGACGUUAGCUGCAGAAGAAGCACCGGCUAACUCCGUGCCAGCAGCCGCGGUAAUACGGAGGGUGCGAGCGUUAAUCGGAAUUACUGGGCGUAAAGCGCAUGCAGGUGGUUUGUUAAGUCAGAUGUGAAAGCCCGGGGCUCAACCUCGGAAUUGCAUUUGAAACUGGCAAACUAGAGUACUGUAGAGGGGGGUAGGAAUUUCAGGUGUAGCGGUGAAAUGCGUAGAGAUCUGAAGGAAUACCGGUGGCGAAGGCGGCCCCCUGGACAGAUACUGACACUCAGAUGCGAAAGCGUGGGGAGCAAACAGGAUUAGAUACCCUGGUAG
rnacentral:rRNA from 1 species